GACAGGAGGAACUGUACGAGGACGCCAUGAUGGAGGAGCUCAGGCCUCUGACAUCAGCAGGUUCUGACUCCAGGAGGAUAAAUCCCCCCGAGAGAUGUCCCCGUCCUCUGUAUUCCAGGACUGUCCAGAGGAGAAGCUCCCAGAGGACCAUCAGAUGACAAAUCAGGGGGAAGAUGUGACUGAUAUUAAAGUGGAGGAUGAAGAAGAGCGG